rnacentral:rRNA from 1 species
AUUGAACGCUGGCGGCAGGCCUAACACAUGCAAGUCGAGCGGAUGAAGGGAGCUUGCUCCUGGAUUCAGCGGCGGACGGGUGAGUAAUGCCUAGGAAUCUGCCUGGUAGUGGGGGAUAACGUCCGGAAACGGGCGCUAUUACCGCAUACGUCCUGAGGGAGAAAGUGGGGGUUCUUCGGACCUCCCGCUAUCAGAUGAGCCUAGGUCGGAUUAGCUAGUUGGUGGGGUAAAGGCCUACCAAGGCGACGAUCCGUAACUGGUCUGAGAGGAUGAUCAGUCACACUGGAACUGAGACACGGUCCAGACUCCUACGGGAGGCAGCAGUGGGGAAUAUUGGACAAUGGGCGAAAGCCUGAUCCAGCCAUGCCGCGUGUGUGAAGAAGGUCUUCGGAUUGUAAAGCACUUUAAGUUGGGAGGAAGGGCAGUAAGUUAAUACCUUGCUGUUUUGACGUUACCAACAGAAUAAGCACCGGCUAACUUCGUG